GUUCCCAUGGCGUAGUGGUUAUCGCGUCAGAUUUACAUGAUACUGUCGUACGUCGUACGUCGUACAUGGAUUCUCUGAAGGUCUCCGGUUCAAUCCCGGAUGGGAAUA